UACGGAGGAUGCGAGCGUUAUCCGGAUUUAUUGGGUUUAAAGGGUGCGCAGGCGGAGGCACAAGUCAGCGGUAAAAUCGCGGGGCUCAACCCCGCUCCGCCGUUGAAACUGUGUCCCUUGAGUGCGCGAAGGGUAGGCGGAAUGCGUGGUGUAGCGGUGAAAUGCAUAGAUAUCACGAAGAACUCCGAUUGCGAAGGCAGCUUACCAGUCUGCGACUGACGCUCAGGCACGAAAGUGUGGGUAUCGAACAGG
rnacentral:rRNA from 1 species